rnacentral:sRNA from 1 species
CAGGUCCCGGCCUGGGGCACCGGGGCUGCCAGCGUCGGAGGAGGCCUGAGAACUGGGAGGAAGCUGGAGAAAAGAUGCCCUCUGAAUCUUUGUGUUUGGCUGCCCAGGCUCGCCUUGACACCGAAUGGUUGAAAACAGAUAUACAGAUGAUAGUGUCGAACCAAGUGGAACAAAGAAAGAAGAUCUGAAUGACAAAGAGAAAAAAGAUGAAGACGAAACUCCUGCACCUGUAUAUAGGGCCAAGUCAAUUCUGGAGACCUGGGUGUGGGUCAAGCAACCAGGAAACGGAAGCCCAAAGAGGAGAGGAGUUUACAGCAGGCCCUGGACUAGGGAUUAACACAAAAACAACAACAACAAAUCUGAUUUAAACUUUACACAUGCUGGAAUGCAGUGGCAUGAUCUCGGCUCAUUGCAAGCUCCGCCUUCCGGGUUCACGCCAUUCUCCUGCUUCAGCCUCCCGAGUAGCUGGGACUAUAGGCGCCCACCACCACCCCUGGCUAAUUUAUUGUAUUUUUUUUAGUAGAGACGGGGUUUCACCGUGUUAGCCAGGAUGGUCUCGAUCUCCUGACCUCGUGAUCCACCCGCCUCAGCCUCCCAAAGUGCUGGGAUUACAGGCGUGAGCCACUGCACCCAGACUUGUGAGGUUUUAAUAUGAAGUAUUAAAGCUAUGCUGGUUAGACAAUUUGAGAAAUGUUUCUUCUCCUAUUUCUGACAGAGUUUAUGUAAGAUGUGUGCUAUUUCUUCCUUAAGCAUUUGGAAAGAAUUCACUUAUUAAGCCAUGUGAGACUGUAGUUUUCUUUAUAAGGUGUUUAAUUACAGGUUCAAUUACAUAUAUAUGAAUAUUCAUUUAGGUAACCUGUGUUUGCUGAAUCAAUUUGUUCAUUUUAUCUAAAAUUUCAAAGUUGUUCUAUUAUUCAUUUAUCUUUUUAAUACUUAUAAGGUCUGCGGUUAGAAUUUGUGCCUUUUGUCUGGUUUGUUAAUCAAUCUUGCUGGGGGCCAUCAAUUUUAUCAGUGUUUCAAAAAAGCAAACUUUGAUUUUAUUCAUCCCUUUACCAUACUGAAAAUGUUUUGCUUAAUUUCCAAACUUAUACUUCCACUGUGAUUAAAUAUUUGUAUAACUAAAACUCUUUGGAAUUUGUGUCUUCUCAAUGAUUAAAAAUAUGAUUAAUUUUUAUAAAUAUUGCUUCUGCACUUGAAAAGGAUAUGUAUUCUGCAUGUUGAGCGUAGUGUACCACGUAUCUCAAUUAGAUGGAGCGUGUUAAAUGCAUCCUUUAAAGAUUCUAUUUCCUUACUGAUGUUUGUCUGUUUAUUUUCCAGUGGCUGAGACACAGAUAUGAAACUUUCCCACAAUGAUCAUCAA